CUUGUAAUCCCUCCGUCCAAAAAUACUUGUCAUUGAAAUGGAUGUAUCUAGAUGUAUUUUAGUUCUAGACACAUCCAUUUUGAUGACAAGUAAUUCCGGACGGAGGGAGUACUUG
rnacentral:pre_miRNA from 1 species